AAAUUGAAGAGUUUGAUCAUGGCUCAGAUUGAACGCUGGCGGCAGGCCUAACACAUGCAAGUCGAACGGUAGCACAGAGAGCUUGCUCUCGGGUGACGAGUGGCGGACGGGUGAGUAAUGUCUGGGAAACUGCCUGAUGGAGGGGGAUAACUACUGGAAACGGUAGCUAAUACCGCAUAACGUCGCAAGACCAAAGAGGGGGACCUUCGGGCCUCUUGCCAUCAGAUGUGCCCAGAUGGGAUUAGCUAGUAGGUGGGGUAAUGGCUCACCUAGGCGACGAUCCCUAGCUGGUCUGAGAGGAUGACCAGCCACACUGGAACUGAGACACGGUCCAGACUCCUACGGGAGGCAGCAGUGGGGAAUAUUGCACAAUGGGCGCAAGCCUGAUGCAGCCAUGCCGCGUGUAUGAAGAAGGCCUUCGGGUUGUAAAGUACUUUCAGCGAGGAGGAAGGCGGUGAGGUUAAUAACCUCAUCGAUUGACGUUACUCGCAGAAGAAGCACCGGCUAACUCCGUGCCAGCAGCCGCGGUAAUACGGAGGGUGCAAGCGUUAAUCGGAAUUACUGGGCGUAAAGCGCACGCAGGCGGUCUGUCAAGUCGGAUGUGAAAUCCCCGGGCUCAACCUGGGAACUGCAUUCGAAACUGGCAGGCUAGAGUCUUGUAGAGGGGGGUAGAAUUCCAGGUGUAGCGGUGAAAUGCGUAGAGAUCUGGAGGAAUACCGGUGGCGAAGGCGGCCCCCUGGACAAAGACUGACGCUCAGGUGCGAAAGCGUGGGGAGCAAACAGGAUUAGAUACCCUGGUAGUCCACGCCGUAAACGAUGUCGACUUGGAGGUUGUUCCCUUGAGGAGUGGCUUCCGGAGCUAACGCGUUAAGUCGACCGCCUGGGGAGUACGGCCGCAAGGUUAAAACUCAAAUGAAUUGACGGGGGCCCGCACAAGCGGUGGAGCAUGUGGUUUAAUUCGAUGCAACGCGAAGAACCUUACCUACUCUUGACAUCCAGAGAACUUAGCAGAGAUGCUUUGGUGCCUUCGGGAACUCUGAGACAGGUGCUGCAUGGCUGUCGUCAGCUCGUGUUGUGAAAUGUUGGGUUAAGUCCCGCAACGAGCGCAACCCUUAUCCUUUGUUGCCAGCGGUUAGGCCGGGAACUCAAAGGAGACUGCCAGUGAUAAACUGGAGGAAGGUGGGGAUGACGUCAAGUCAUCAUGGCCCUUACGAGUAGGGCUACACACGUGCUACAAUGGCGCAUACAAAGAGAAGCGACCUCGCGAGAGCAAGCGGACCUCAUAAAGUGCGUCGUAGUCCGGAUUGGAGUCUGCAACUCGACUCCAUGAAGUCGGAAUCGCUAGUAAUCGUAGAUCAGAAUGCUACGGUGAAUACGUUCCCGGGCCUUGUACACACCGCCCGUCACACCAUGGGAGUGGGUUGCAAAAGAAGUAGGUAGCUUAACCUUCGGGAGGGCGCUUACCACUUUGUGAUUCAUGACUGGGGUGAAGUCGUAACAAGGUAACCGUAGGGGAACCUGCGGUUGGAUCACCUCCUUACCUUAAAGAA
rnacentral:rRNA from 1 species